UUAUCCCUGAAGUGUUUGUGAUGCAAGCUCACCGCGGCCUCACAAGCAUACUAACAGGAGACCGAGUCAAGCACUGGUGUGCGCGCCUGUACAGGCGUACCUGAAAGGGCUUGCAAGGUUUCCACCGUGGGAUUCAGGUCCUGCGGGGAAGUUUACACACGGCACUUCGGGGCUGCA
rnacentral:other from 1 species